AAAAACAUGUCUUUUUGAUUAUAAUUUAAAGUCUAAUCUGCUCAAUGAAAAUUAAAUAGCCGCAGUAUUUUGACUGUGCGAAGGUAGCGUGAUAAUUAGUUUCUUAAUUAGAAACUUGUAUGAAUGAUUGGACGAGAAAAUUUCUGUCUCUUUCGGAAUUGUUUUUGAAUUUUAUUUUUAAGUUAAAAAGCUUAAAUAAUUAUAAAAGACGAGAAGACCCCAUAGAGUUUUAUUUUUUAGUUUUAUUUUAGAAUAAUAUUUUUACUGAAAAAAUUAGUUGGGGUAACUUAAAGAUAAAAUAAAUUCUUUAAAUUUGAAAUCAUUAAUUUAUGAAUUUGGAAUCUAAUUUUUUAAAUUUAAAUAAAGUUACCUUGGGGAUAACAGCGUA
rnacentral:rRNA from 1 species